rnacentral:rRNA from 1 species
UACGUAGGGUGCGAGCGUUAAUCGGAAUUACUGGGCGUAAAGAGCUCGUAGGUGGUUUGUCGCGUUGUUCGUGAAAACUCACAGCUCAACUGUGGGCGUGCGGGCGAUACGGGCAGACUAGAGUACUGCAGGGGAGACUGGAAUUCCUGGUGUAGCGGUGGAAUGCGCAGAUAUCAGGAGGAACACCGGUGGCGAAGGCGGGUCUCUGGGCAGUAACUGACGCUGAGGAGCGAAAGCGUGGGGAGCGAACAGG